rnacentral:rRNA from 1 species
UACGUAGGCAGCAAGCGUUGUUCGGAGUUACUGGGCGUAAAGGGUGUGUAGGCGGUUCUUUAAGUUUGGUGUGAAAUCUCCCGGCUCAACCGGGAGGGUGCGCCGAAUACUGAGGGACUAGAGUGUGGGAGAGGAAAGUGGAAUUCCUGGUGUAGCGGUGAAAUGCGUAGAUAUCAGGAGGAACACCGGUGGUGUAGACGGCUUUCUGGACCAUUGCUGACGCUGAGACACGAAAGCGUGGGUAGCAAACAGG